rnacentral:rRNA from 1 species
UACAGAGGGUGCGAGCGUUAAUCGGAAUUACUGGGCGUAAAGCGUGCGUAGACGGUUAUUUAAGUCGGAUGUGAAAGCCCCGGGCUCAACCUGGGAAUUGCAUUCGAGACUGAAUAGCUAGGGUGCGGUAGAGGGAAGCGGAAUUUCCGGUGUAGCGGUGAAAUGCGUAGAUAUCGGAAGGAACAUCGGUGGCGAAAGCGGCUUCCUGGACCAGCACCGACGUUCAAGCACGAAAGCGUGGGGAGCAAACAGG